CUCGGAUCAGGUAGGGAUACCCGCUGAACUUAAGCAUAUCAUAAGCGCGAGGAA
rnacentral:rRNA from 1 species